UAGUCAUAUGCUUGUCUCAAAGACUAAGCCAUGCAUGUCUAAGUAUGAAUGUUAUACAGUGAAACUGCGAAUGGCUCAUUAAAACAGUUAUUGUUUAUUUGAUAAUCAAAUUUACAUGGAUAACCGUGGUAAUUCUAGAGCUAAUACAUGCUGAUAUGCCUGACUCUUAGGAAGGGCUGUAUUUAUUAGAUAACAAACCAAUAUUCCUCGUGUCUAUUGUGAUGACUCAUAAUAACUGAUCGAAUCGCAUGGACUUUGUCCGCGAUACAUCAUUCAAGUUUCUGCCCCAUCAGCUUUCGAUGGUAGUGUAUUGGACUACCAUGGCUUUAACGGGUAACGGAGGAUUAGGGUUCGAUUCCGGAGAGGGAGCCUGAGAAACGGCUACCACAUCUAAGGAAGGCAGCAGGCGCGUAAAUUACCCAAUCCUAAUUCAGGGAGGUAGUGACAAGAAAUAACGGACUGAGGCCUACGCUUCAGGAUUGCAAUGAGUAGAAUUUAAACCCCUUUGCGAGGAUCAAUU
rnacentral:rRNA from 2 species